GUGAUGGACUUUUACUUGAGGAGUCGUAUUGCCUUCAGUUGGAUUCUCAGCAUGUGGGAAUUAACCUACAUCAAAGCAGAAUUGUAUGGUGCCUCAAAAAAACCAACAAAAAAACCCCAACAACUGAGGUUUGUGUUGUAGUUUCAAAAGUCGUAAGUAGCUGCGUCUAGCUAUACCACAGGCCCUUGUUAUUACCUGCUUUCAUUGUUUUGUUACUCGGAGAUGUAGCUUUAUGUGAGUUGCUUGAGCCCUGUGUGGUUUAUAGUGUAGGUUUAAAUGAAAAACAAAACAGUGCCAUCAUGAUUGUUAAAAUCUAUUCUGGUUUUGAAGAUAUCAUUCUUUGGGCACUGUUCCUUUAGAAACUUAUUUUUGCCAACAGUUUUACUUUGGCUUGCAAGAUCGCAUUUUAAAUUGAAAGAUGAGGAUACUUGACUCCUCUGAAUAUUUAAGAGUUGUAAAUAAUGAUUGUGAUAUAAAGAAAACUUGUAUCCCAUUACUUUUAUGGUGGAUGAUUCAUCUCUGUGUCAGUUUGAUAAAUUAACUCAGAGUAUAAAUAUUCUUAAGUAAUUUUAAUGCUUUUUAUUAUCAUUAUUAUUAUUAUUAUUUUCCCCCCUCUGCCCCAUUUUCUUCUCCCCAAAUUCAGUAAUUUUCUGAGCAUGACAAGGUAUUCAGCCUUUUGCCAAAGCCAAUAGAUCCAGGUCUCUUGCUUAAUCUUCUCCUUUCCCCUUUUUUGAAGAGUGGAUCUAGGACACUGUUGUUUGCUCUGUCACAGCAGACUGCUGCCAGUAUUGGCUAUGACUCCAGAAGAGUCCGCCAAGUCCGGGGGACGAAGAGUUUUGUUCAAAUCCUCAUGCACUGAGACCGAAGCCAGCUUUUACCUAUCUUGAAGAAUAAGCAAAGGGGAAAAAAUGUCACUGUUCAAGUACAAGGCAUGUAAUUGGCAGUAGCAAGUAACAACUUCCUGCUGCUAAAAAUAUUUUGCUUUAUUUCAUUUUGCUAGCAUUAGCAAGUCAGCAGUCUGUUCUGAAAAACAGGAUUUUAAAUGGCACAUGAAAACUCGGCUAUUUGAAACAGUAAGUGAACAGCAUUUUUUCUUUCCUGGUGCCCUAAGCUACCUAAUUACUGCAAAUUAAAUUGAAACAGGUGUGUUCAGAGGCAGCUGAGCUAACAUUGCCUUGUCCCAACUCUAAUUAGAACCCUUGACAACUGAAGUUGUAGCAUUUUGGCGAUUAUACAUCAUUUUGAGUUUUGCACCAUUUUCUGCUCUUCCUGCAGUUUCUAUCAGGAGACUAUUCAAGCCACUAAUGCAAAGUGGUAAUUCAUUUUGGUGACAAGCGCAUGCAGAUGGGAAAGUGGUGGGCUCCUAGCAAGGUGGCUUGUAACAAGGUCAGAGCAUAGUGCAAAAUGGUUGAAAUGAUAUCAUGGAAGGAAUAGAAACUAUUACCACGCCAAACCCAGUUUUUUAGAUUGUUUUUGCGGUGUCAAUAAUUGCAGAUGCAGUGGAUACAGACUUUGGUUUCGUUCCCUUGAUGCAGGGUGAGAAGCAUUUACAAAGGUCCACAUUUCAUGACGUUUGUAAGGUCUGCAUUUCAUGACACUCUUGGAAAACGGUGAAGUCCCACACUUGCAUCCGUCUUCUUCCAUCUUCCUUGGCUUGUGAGUGAAAUCCCAACUAACCCAGAGAUGCAUUGUGACGUAAGAUUGGAGAUCUGUUAGGUGUGUGCUGUAAAGGGGUCCCAAAUCCCCGAGUUUUGAGGUCACUUUUGGGAUGUUAGAGAACUUCUCUGUAGAGUUUUCCCUCAGUCUGCAGGUAGCUACAGCGAGGACGGUGUGACUGGCCUGGCCUGUUUGCUGAGGAUGGUGUGGCUCUGUGUCCCAGAUGGUGCCUAGCUCGGGUUGGACAAACAGAUUGAGUUUUAGCCCAGAAAAAGUUGGACUGUUGGUUGGUAUUGAGAAGCAGCCAGAGGCAAUAUUAGUCCUUGAAGACAGUGGGCCUGCUGUUAGAUCUCUAGUCAAAUGAAAACUUUAAUAGUCAAAAUUAGCCCAGCUGCUUGACAGCAAGAAGUAAUCCAGAUAGGUUUUUGACUGGCUGGCCUGUUUCAACUUGGCCCCUUUUCACUACGCUUAAAAAAAAAAAUCAUUUUUAAGUUGAUACCAGAGCACAGGGCAGGGGUUCGUUUGCUGAAAGGGCAUCUUGACAGCGCUUAGUGGCACUACAGCUCCGGGACCGGCCUGUUGAUUGCCAGGCGGCAUUUGAAGUACUUUGUAGAAUCUAUAAGGAUCACAAAGAGUUCCCUUUUCACUGCUGGGUUACAUGUUGUUGGGACAGUCACAGUAGCAGGUGCAGGGGCAUCCAGAGCCCUGAGCUGGUAUGUCUUAUCAGUUGUAUCUACAUUUAGAUGAAGAGAGUGGAAAAGAAUGCAACUGUUUUUUCAUUCAUCCCUAAUCUUUCACUCUUGACACCUUUAGGGGUGUUUACGUAUCGUAAUAAGAUGUUAACGAGAUAGAUGCCGUGUAGUUUUAGGAGGAGCAAACUCAGGGCUCUGCUUCUUGGGGUUUUCCUUUUUUUUUUUCCUUUUCUUUUUUUCUUUUUUUUUUUUUCUCCCAGGAUUUUUUCCCAGGGUUUGUUCCCAGUUUUUUCCUGUUUGUUUUUUUUCUGGGUGUUUGUCCAGGUUUCACUAUUUUUUUCUGGGUUUGACCCUUUUUCUGCCUUUCUUUUUUCUAGUUUUGACCAGUUUUGUUUGAGUUUGGAGGGUUUGGGGUGAAGUUUUUAGUGCAGCCAAGGUUUUGUGGGGGGCAGCCAAAAUAAUUAUGAACCUUACACAGGAGUAUGCCAAAAAUGCAAAGGCAGUGAUUUAAUACUUCCAGAGUAAUAAGAAUGGUUGAAUGCUCAACCAUCGUUCCCUUCCAUGGCUGUGAUUUUUAACUGCUAAUCUCUAGCCCAGUUAAGGUAGCUUAUGUCUGAGGAAGGUCUCUCUUUUGGGUUUACUUGUUUAUGAAAUGUAAGUUUGGAUAAUUAGCAGGUUAAUGUGAUACAUCAUUCUGGCAGCAAACUUCUUUUAUACUUAAAAAGAAAAUGGAGCUUCCCUUCAGUCUCUUUGCACUGCAUCCAAUGGGUGAUGGAUGACUUUUUGGACAAGACCAAUUGCAUUGCCAUCAACAGGAAUUUUUUUCCAAAUAUGCAAUAAUUUAGAUCAGGUUUAUCCAUAGACACAUCUUGACUUAAGCCUUGAUCCUGUACCGUACAGACAAAUGAAUGUUUUUCACUGUUUCCACUGAACAAGUUGCAGUCUCAAUCUGACAAAUAAAUGCCUAAUGAGGAGCUCAGGGUUUGGAAGUGGGAUGAACCCUUUCUUUGAUAUAUGUCAGAGUAUUUUCCAGUGAGGACUUGGAGGUGCCUGUCGGACUGCCACCUUGCCUUCCCGGCUUUUUUGGGAAGGGAGAGGAAGCUUGUUUUAGAAGCAGGUUCCCUCUCCUGUCGAGUAAUCAGCCUGUUUGAUCCCAUGACACAUCACAUCAGAUUUACACUUAGAACCAUGCAGAGUUUUCAUUACAGGAAGAGGUUUUUGUACUGUGGACACCUGCAGCAUGUACAAAGGUGAUGUGAAGUGCAUGUGCUAAUUUAAAAUAAUUUCCUGGGUAAUGAACUGGAUCAAAAAUGAAGGAUGGUACUGCCAGUAUUUUUAAUAUGUUGACAUAUUUUUGGGGAAGAACGUGGCCCAUGCUUCCGUUUGUAUCUAUAAUUUAGCGUGACUCAUAACCAGAAGUCUGAACUGUCCUGGUGAAAAGAAAGGAAUGGAUAUUAAGAUUGCAAGUGCCAAGGCAGAUUUUGUAUAUCGAAAGCUGACAGAAAAGAUGAUUUGCAGAGGUUUCAGUAAGUGCAUCAUUAAAUCAUCCUUGGCUCCUUCUCAGAUGUGUAUUUUUUUAAAAAAAACCCCGAUGCUUCUCUAAGCAAAAAUAUAAACAUGUGAAACACUGGAGGUGACUUUCUUGGAAGAAGUGGUUUUUUCCCCACUAAGGAAAUAUAUUUUUUUCUUAAGAUGUCCAAUUGAUUAAUGCCAGACCGCAUGGAAUUACUAAGUGAAAUCCUCAAGAUGUUCUAUUGUUUUUAUAGCACAACUCAGUCACCAGUGUUUUUCUGUAUGUGAAAAUAUUUGGCAGCCUUGUUGACCAGAUAGGCAAUGGUAUGUGAAUUUCACAUUUUAUAUAAAGGCCCUUGGUUUCAUAUUAAAAAUUAGGGGUUUGACAUUCAGCUAAAACAGCGGGUAACUGAUUGCCUUCAUAAUUUCUGUAGAGUGUCAUGAGAAAGGAGAGCCUCGUGCCAUGCUCCACUCCAACAGCCCUGGACAUACAUGCCCGGUUUUCCUGAAGGUAUAUUUGGACACACCAAGCUGCUAAGCCUGGAAUUACCUGUAGCCCAGCCGGCCUCAGCAGCUCUCCCCAUGGCCCAUGCAGAGGCUUCAGUCUGCUCUCCCGGUGUUACAGGCAAGUUCCGUCUUCAUAGCGGAACCUCCCUACUAUGUUUGGCGCGAGCAGCGCUGAGAAACAUACAUAUUGUAUAAAUUCCCUUCUUGAAGCACUACCAGUACUUUGGAUAAGCCACUGUAAAACUACUGGUAUGCAUUUGUUCAUAGUUUGGAAAAUACUGUUUUCAUUACAGUAAACCAAUAUAAACAUCAGCAAUAUUCCUAUCAAACAAAUUAGUUCUCAUGUGAAAUGUAUGGUAAGUAAAUUUGUUGUGUAGCUGAAUACAGUGUUAUUUAAUGGAACUUGAUUUGGUGCCAACUAAACAUAUGGAUCUUUAAAUGCAUUCCCCUUGUGGCUAUGUUGAAAUCAUCCACCAAUAACAUGUGCUGAAUUCCCUUCCAGAUUUGCAGGCUGGCUGCCCUUAUUGUAUGAGGUUUUGAAAUGCAACAAAUAGUAUUGGUGAGGGAGGGGAAUACAGUGCAAGAAUUUCUGUUUUGUUAGUUAUUUUUCAAAAAAAUUUUGCUUGACUAAAGCUUUUCUUCUCCACCCACCCCCCUAGCCCCCUCCUUCCUUUCAGCCUGGAAAAGAGUUUUGUUUUAUCAUCAAAUGCCAUAAAGGUUCUUCGUUUCUUUGAGGAUUUUUGUCUCCAUUUCUCUUCUACUUCUUCCCUUUUUACCAGGGGAAAUCAGUAAAAGGGGAGAUAAAUGGAAGACAGGGAAAUACAGGUAAAUCUUUUUGUCCUUACCUUUUUACAGUAUUAAAAUUAUUACUAUAGGAAUAUAUAUUUAUGGAAAAAAUAUUUUUUCAGAAAACACUGCCUUUUUUUUUUUUCCUUAGUUGUGACAGUCUGUGUUCUAUGACAGGAGGCAGUAUUCAGAAAGCUACUGCAGCUGUCUCGUUUUUAACCACAGAACUGUAAUGUGCUAACAUGAUAGGAUGCAGCAGAAGUAGUAGCGUGGAUCCUGGUCUACCAAACACUUCUGUGCAUGCUUACAUUGAUUGCUGUCUGUACUAGUAUUUGAAAUCAGGGUCAUUCCCUUCUUGCAGUGAAGCAUACACAAGUGUCAGAAAGUCUGAAGUCAGUGUUCCUCCACAGCAAUCAGUGCAUUAAGAUUUGUGCCCAAACGUCAUAUUCAGAGCUCUGCAUGCGUUCAGCUGGUGGCUGGCUGGCCAGACCUGGUAAGGUUACCUGACGGUGGCACGCAGGACUUGCAGGCGUCCAGAAACAGCUUCACAUGCAGCUCCAGGCGCUGGAUGGAGACCACCUUGGAGGGACUUGGCUUUAGAGAGCAGCAGGAAAAUAAAACAUUCUUUCAAUAAAUAAUUAGGAGGACCUGUUAAUGCUAUACGGAGUAGAGCGGAGUUGUCUGUGCCAGUUCCUUCUGUAAAUUGGUGUAGCUCCUUUGGGACCCGUCGAACCGUGCCAAUAUACAUCAGCCAAGGCCCUGACACGAGUGGAGUUACUGGGGGUUUGACCCUGUGCCAGCUGAGGAGCUGCUGCUCCUGGAGAGUACAUCAAGUAGAAGAGGAUGUCGAAGGGGCAAUUCAGUACUGCAAUGAUUUUUAUUUUAUUUUGGGGUUUUUUAAGCCUCAAGAAAACGUAGGUGAAACGGUGGCGUAAUGCUGACAGCUAGAGGGGGGGCACUUGGGUUGCAAUUAAUGCAGCAACAAGUGGCAAGCUGAAAGAUGUUUUUAUUCCCUCAAAAACAAAGUUAGGGGCUAAUUAUAGAUCCACUGAUGUAAUGGGAACAUUCUGACCCACCAUUAUUGUCAUAAUCAUAGUUGUAAGUCUGGUAAAUUUAAAGGUCUGUUUUCCUUGCGUCCUGCAUACAAAUUCCAUUUCAUAACAUUUUGGGCUAUUUCAGGGAGGUUACAGGGCUCUAAAGGUGAUUAAACUCACUCAGUCAUCAGCAGCUUGACUUGUAACCCACUCAAGGACUGCUUAUAAUAGUAUUGCUUCAUUUUGUUAUUUCUCUUGAGGUUCCCUCGACCACAUCUCACCUUCAGCUAAGACAUUUUCAAGUGCCAGCCUGAAAAAUCAAGAGUUCUGCGCAGCUAAUAGGAUCUGCUGUCGAUGUCGUUAAAAUCUUGGCGGGAGGUGGGUAGCGAGGAGAGGAAGCAGUCCAGGGGCAUCGAGCCUUACAUGUUGUCCUCCUGCCACACGGGAUGGAGCAGCGUGUGCGGUGGCGGCGUGUGCUGCGGGGCACCACCCCGAGCAGGACCGAGAACGGGGGGAUCCGCGCGGUUCUGUGACUUUGCUGUGUAAAUCCGAGCUCCGGCAUCACACGUUUGCUGACACACAGACUUUGGGUGCUUUUAUUACCAGGUGAGUGCACCAAGUCUGUCCGUGACCUGAUACUUGGGCCUGCGUUUCUGCAAGAAAACUGUGGCGGUGCCUCAGGCCAUCUCUAGUGACAUCUUCUGAACUGUUUGAAGGUGAAACCCAACUGUCCCUGUAGUCCCUACUGUCACAGAUCACUGAAGCUGAUUUGGUCACCUUUGCUGUGAAAUAUUUUUGAGGUGCUCACCCUGUGUUCUGUUUGGGCUAGGUGGGGAGCGAUAUCUAGUCUCUUCCAAAGGUGUUUUCAUACCGGAGCCCGGUGCUCUCCGUGUCUGCCUGGUGGGAGCGAGCAUGGUUUGGACUCAGAGCAGAACUGUAGCAGGGGCAGGAGCCAAGUGCUUGAGAAUUUCUUCUGCCUGCAGGGGCAUGUCGGGUGAUGGACGGAUGAGAAGGGCAUGGUGUGUCCAGGCAGCAGCAGAGUACCAUGAGCCUGCCAGCGUGCUGCUGGGGUGGCUGGCUGUGGGCAGCUGACAGUCUCGCCCGCUCAGUCAGCAGUAAGCUGGGCUUGCACAAGGCCGAUGCAGAGACAAAACAUCUGGGUCUCAAGUGCCUUUGGGUCUGGUAUUGCAGCCUGAGGUGUGUGGAGUGAGGUGCUGUCAUGGCAGUAUGUGUGGAUGAGAAACGCGGUCCCAGAGGAUUUGACCUUCUAGGAAGAAAAAUGACAUGCACUACUGUUUUGUUUGUGAGAGUUUUUAUCGUUUCUCUUUUUUCUUUUUUUUUAUGGAUCAAAACCAAUGUAUAAUAUGGUGAGGCAGGAUAACGUUUGAAGUUGACAGUCAAUACCUGGGAAGCAGAUAAGAGAGGUACAAGCAUGAUGCAAUCCAAUGAGACGUGGCUGAGAGAGGGUGAGGGAGGACAGCAGUAGUGGUGAAUAACCUUCAGGGGAAAGACCCUGGGGGCCAUAACCUCAGUUCAGAGAAUAUGUAAAACUUACAGGGGCCAAAGGGGGAGUAGAAAAUGUCAGAAGCCUUCCAGAGCAGCAGAAGGUUAUGAUCUGUUCCCCAGCCACUGCUUGGAGAUAAGCUUCUCUUUGGGACAGAUUCAGCAAUAUUUACAAUUUAUGUGAUGUGCAUAAAAUAAAAUGCUUUGUCCGCUGAUCCUUUAGCCAAAUGCAGAACACAGUCAGAAGCUUUGCAAAGCUGAAUAUCUUAAAUUAUAAAUCAACUUUUUUACACUGUAUUGAAAUUACUGUAAACUCCCAGCCUUUGUGAUAAGCUACCACAGAAGGGAUUAGAAGCCAGCAAAUAUUUCUGGCUAAUAAACUCUGAAGAUACUCCUAAUUUUUUCCCAAAAGACUGAAAAAAAUUGAUUCCCAAAUUCUGUUCAAACUGGUGUAGAUAGCUCCGGUGCCUUGGUUUUAUAGGGCAAACUCCUUAGGUAAAUGAUAGAAGAUUGCUAGUUAAAAGACACUUGAAAUUAUAUUAGUUUAGCAAAGUGAAACAAAAGUUAUACUGUAAGCAAGAGAAACUACUCAGUUUAGUUUCUCUGUCCCAAUUAAAAUGUGGAAAGUAAACCAACUGCAUAAUAGCAAAAAUGCAGAGCUAAAACCUCUUGUUGUUUUGUUGCAAAUUCCAUAAUUUUACGUAUUUCAUCAGCCCUUAGCUCAUAUAGAUUCAUGAUUAUGUGAGAAUUUUUGCUUAUUAGCGUUUUGGUUUUAGUCUGAAUUGCAGCGAAACUGGAAACAUGCUCUAAAACCUCUGGAAAUACAAAGCAAAGGAAAAAAAAAAAACCUACCGUCAAAUGAUCUUUAGUAAAAAAGAUGAUGUGGGGGUUUUUUAAGCUGGUCAUACAACUUCAGGGUAUAUAUCUGAAUGCUAUAUUUCAAUAAAGUGUAUUUGAGUGCUAUGUUUCACCACCAACUUCAAAAUGAUUAUCCAGCCUCAAGAGAAAUAUUUGCUAAGUAAUAUGACCAGGUCAAGACGAGGGUGAUUCCACUGCAUGACUUCACUGCCAUGUGAAUUUACAGGCAUGUAACUUAAAACUUCAUUCUUGCAGAUAAACUUUAGUUUUUUCUUACUCUUUAUGAAGUGAACCUGGAAAGCAUCUGAUCACCAUCCUCCUUACAAUUUAUUAUUUUUUUUCUCAUAUUGGGAAACAGUUGCCACUUACCCAUGAUAUUCUUCUAGAUGAAAUCUGAAGUUCUUCAAUCUUUCCUUAUGUCAUGUUUUGUAGGUCUGUGUAAGUUUUAUUGUUCUGCUGUGGUUUACUCCUUUCUAAUGCGUGAUGCUCGAAUUGGCUAGAGUAUUGUGGAUGAGACCUUUCCAUUGCAAAGUUGCACAGAAUAACUACUGCCUGUCUCUUAGGAAUAAUGUUCACAUUUUUAACACAAGCCAAAAAGACCAGUGCCCUCUUGCAGCAUAAUGGUAUUGACAUGUAUUUGCUUUGUCAUCUGCUAUAACCCCAGAUUCUCCUGUUCGUCCAUAUUUUGUAAUAGUAAAAAAAGUGACAUAAAAUGAUCUUUUCCUUUUUUUUUUAAUGAUCUAGCUUAAGAAUAAGCAAAUUCAAUUUAACAUUUAACUCCCCUCUAUUAAAAAAAAGGGGGGGGGGUGAGAGUUAGUUUUUGGGUGGAGAGCUUUUAUUUCUAGUUUCAUCCCAAGCAAAUUUUUAUGGCUGAGUUAUAAACCCCUGAAAAUUGCAGUUCAUAAUGGAAACAUUGGCAGACCCUGAACGGCGCCGCUGUAAAGUAGUAUGAAGCUUUAAGUUUUUCCACUUUUAGACCUGGAAUAAAACUAAAUUACAACACUUUCCGUAGAGGCAUUUGAUUUUCCCCCCAGUAAUUUCUGCUGGAUCUGUCCAGUGUUUCCUGACUUCCUAUGUUGUCAUUGGACUUUUUCUUAUUGACUAGGCAGUUCGUUUCAUUCGAUCGGUAGAUUCACCAGUGGAGAUACCCAAAAAGUGUUGUUUACUGGGGCAGAGUGUGCUAGGAAACGUAGUGCUGGCUUGGAGCAAGUUACAGUGCGGAUUUAUGGAAGAAAUCUACAGCAAAUAGGGCUGGAAUGAGUGUUGUGGGACUCACAAAACACCUGAAAUGAUAAGGGUCCCCACAAUGUUGUUCUGCAGGAUAGAAAUGUUCUUCCAGAUUCCAUCCAAACCCAUUGCCGAAGUGGAUGCAAAGGCGCUCUGAGAAGAGAAUAUCAAGGUUGUUUUCCUCUCCCAAGGCAGGAGAAAUAGAUUAGCAAUAUGAUUUUUCAUAGCGCUGCAGUAUGCUAGGGUAUUCCAGCAGGAGCAGUUUUAUCUGAAAGUGGAUGUGAAAACAAAAGGCAGAAUGGAAGUCAGCAAGUGGACAGGGCUUUUUUCUGGAAUUAUUCCUGGAGUCAUUUCUCAUACUGGCGCAGGCUGCAGGAAGCCAAAGAUCAACGUGUGGGUUAUUUAUAACCAUUUUCUAAAUUACUUCAGUGCAAAUGAUCUGUUUAGCUACUUCAGUCCUUAGGGCAAGAGUUGCAAUGCCACUCGUUUGGUCCCUACGGGGCGGGGGGCAAAUUAUGGAACCAAGGCAUAAGCAAAUAACGUACCCUUGCUUUUCUCUUUUGGGUCUCUCCUUGAAGAUGAAAUUUUUUUGUUAUUUGUUGUUAUUGCAUCCCAAUGGAUCUGUGGUGGUUCCUGGCACGAACAGCGGAGGGCUAUGAUAUAUUCCUAGCUGGGCUGUAGUUAGCUGCCUUGUCCGGGCAGUUUCGCCUCCAGCCCUGUGACAGCUACCCAGGCUGUCCAGGCAGCUGUAACUUUGGCGUGUGGAUGUUCUCACUGUUUCUGGAGUUCUCCAUGGGCAGCAGGUAAAUUUCUUUCGGUCGUAAUAGGAAUGAUUCUAACGCAAAAUAUAGGAGAGAGGUCCAUGAAAAUCAGCCUUGAGGUCAUAGAUAAAAGUGAUGUCUCCAUCCCCUGGGUGACUGAGAAUCAUUUCCAAAUAGUGGAUUAGCUUAGGCUGGAUUAGCAUUCCUCUUGAACACUUUAUCUAUGUCCAUACUGUUCCUGCACUUGCUUUUUUCUGGAUGUAGCAGCAAAGCCCAAAGUCUGUUGUAGUGAAAAACCCAAUUGUUCUUUCCCAGUCAACUGGAAAAUUUGUGCCUUUAUGAGGGUUUAUAGGAAUGACACUGAGCAACUAAGAAACUGGGCAACUCCGCUUUUCCUUAUUUUCUUCCCUUCUCUACAGCAAAAAAAAGUGGAUUUCAGCACAGAGCAUCACCAAAACAUAAACCGUUCUGUCUGGAUCUGAAAUCCUUUAGGAGAGAAACACCCUCACCCAGCUGUGGCUGAAGAUUGCACCUGCCACUUACCAGCAGUUACAGUAGCUCUUGGAUGGAUGGAAUAAUCUGCUGCUGGAAAAGGUAGUUCUUUUGUUUUCGCUGAGGAGCUGAGCUAUUCCAGGUGAUUUUGUAGGUGAAUUCCAGUAGCUCUUUCUGAAAAACUCUCUGUAGCAUUGAGCCCCCAGUAAAGACAGUGAUAAACUGGAGUGAGGCCAGAGGAGAGGCACGAGUGUGGUUAGGAAGCAAGAGCAUGAGAGGUGCUUGGGGUUGCUGAGGCAGUGGGGUUUGCUGGGUCUGGAGAAGGCUAUGGGUGGGUGAGAGGAUCCAGUUGUCAUCUUCCACUCUCCAAAGGAAGCUUUUGGAGGCAGUGGGAUCAGGCUUUCUGACAGACACAAUGACAAAGGGACAAGAGGUCAUGAUCAGAAGUUCUAAUGAGAGAAAUUUUGUUCGGAUGUGAGGAAUGUAUCCUUCAUCAUAAGAGUGGGUAAGCACCAUGGAAAGUCCCUCCUUGGAGGUUUUUGAACUGCAGCUGGCCCUGAUCUCACCUUGAACCUGGCACUGCUCUGAGGCGGCUGGAGCAGGUGACCUCCUGAGGUCCCUUCCAAACUAAUUUUUUUCUAUGAAUCUGAAUUCAUUUUACAGAGGUAGCAUCCUUAAGGAAGAAGGGAAAAAACCCAACUAAACAAGUACCAGAAUUGAGGAUUUGAGAAACAGGUAUGUAUCUAUAUGACCAACUGAGAGAAAAUAGGUCUCCAGCUGUUUAGUUUUAGCAGUUUAGUUUUCUUUUGGAAAAUAAAAUCAGGAAUAGUCUAGAGUCUGAAAGUGAGAAAUCCAGUUACAAUCAGAAGACCUUAAGAUUUUUAGCUCCUGUUUUUCAAAAGUAAAGCACCAUUAAAAAGAGUAUAUUUCCAUUGCAAAGCAGAGAAUGACUGUAAUGUUUCUUAAUAUGCAUUGAAAAGUACCAAAGUCACAUUCUUCGAGACUCUGUGUGUGUGUAUUAGAUUAUAUAAACUUUGAUUUAUACAUUCCCAGUCACUUAAUGUACAUAGUUUAGCAUUUUAAAAAUCAUGAGCACAGAGUUGUCAUAUAGGAUGUUUUGGAAAACAAAAAUUAUAUGUUGUUAAGAAAAGCUAAGAUGAUCACACUUACUACUGCCUUCUUUUGUUUCCUUCAGCUGAAGCGCAAUUGUGAAGGCAAGAAAUGUGAAGAACUGGCCUUUUGCUGAUAUAUCACCUGUACGGUAAUCAAAGUCUUGUCACUUUGCAUUAGCUUUACUUCAGAGCUUACCAAAAAGAUCGCCUGCCCUGUAAAACAGCCUAACUUGACCAGAUCACCAGCUAACCAGAGGCAGCAGUAGCUGUUGCUCCAUGAUGCUCCUUGUGGAGCUUCUGCUGCAGGAAGCCGGGAGGCAGAUUUGGGAUCAGAAACCAGGUCUUCUGUACUCUGGGUUAGCCCAGCUCGCUUUUCUCUGUCUCACUUAGGGCAUUUGUUGUAAAUAUAAGAACCAAAACCAAAAGCAGAUAACCUGGGGUUGUAGGAUCCUGAUUGUUUUUAAACACUGAUAAGGGCACUUUGUAAGAUCAGCUUCUGAUUUGUAGCUGUUUACAUUUGGAAGAGACUGAGAGAUGCUAAUGUCCCUUCUGGCAUUCAUAGCUAUUUUGCUUUCUGGAGAUUUGUGGGUUUUACAUGGCAUAAGAUCAAGCCAUAACAACGCUGUGACAGACAGGGUUGUUGUUGAGGUACAGAAUGAGUCUUUCUGCUCCAAACACGUUGCUUGCUUUGCAAGUCAGUGUCUGCUCACUCCAGUGACUCCUUUUGCAUAAGGGUCAUCACUUCAGAUGUAGGAUUCUGGAAAAAAAAAAAUAAAUAAAUACACAGUUGGGUUGCAUCUGUGAGUUGAUGAAAGAAAGCUCUGAGUUGGGAUUUCUUUUAUGCUCAGGUAGGCUUUUUCCUGCACCAUAGAUGUCCUCAAAAGACAAGCAAACAUAGUCUCUGUUAUUAAGCCAAAAGGAGCAGAUAAAUCUGACAAAUUUUGCUUUUCUGCUGUUUUUCUCUUCUUGGUUUAUAAAAGGUCACAGUGUGAACCACUUCAAUGCCUUCCACUGUUUUCUUUUACAUUUUAUAGUGCUUGCAUGAUCUCAGUGAGGGAGCGUAUUUAUUGUGCAUGCCAUUCAGUUUAGAUUCAACUGCAGCACAUGAUUACAGCAACUUAGAGGAAAAAAACUGGAAAAUAAGUCCCUGAUGUAAAACUGGUAACUGAGCCAAAACAGUAGUGCCAGUUAUUUCAAUGCCUCACAGAGUGAUUUACGAAUUCACUGCAAACACAUUUAACAAUUUAUUGGGACAACUGUGCAUAUUAACCAGCGCUCUCGAAACCUUGGAUGCAAACCUCUUUUGAUGAUAAUUUUUCCUUUUAAUAUUUUACAGAGAGGCAUUAGAAGGUGACAGUAGGGAAAGCUCAUGUUUGCAUCAUGCCUUUCAGUGAGUUUAUCCCCACAGUCUCCACUGUAUUAUUUUAUUUGGGAAAAGACAUGCAAUGUCUCCUGGAAGAAUGAAUACCCACAGGACUGAUCUGAAUCCUACAGAUACUUAGUAAGCUGAGACAUAACGCAUUUUUCUCACACGUGUGUUGCACAUGCCUGUGCCUACGUGGCUUUUAGGCUGCUGAAGAACAUGAGAAGCAAUUUGUAGCUGGCACUGCUGUCUUCCAGCCUUUGCCUGCUCUUUCCCAAUUUGCACAGAUUAAACCUGCGGGAUUUACAAGGAAGGACACAGAUGAAUGGAAGGUGGCAAGUAAGGACAAAAUUUUUAGGAAGUGUCUCCCAACUUCCUGACGUUACAGCACCUCACCUUUUAUUUUAGGCAGGCGUUUACUUACCUUUAUAAUGGUUUCUAUCACAAGCCUCUUGUCCAAGAAAGGCAUUUCCAAGUCGUGCUUGUGUUGGUAAAUGCAGAAGCUCUGUCAAACCUUUCAAACCAUGUAUGAGACACCAAAAAUACCUUUUUGCUGGAGAAAAUUAUAGCUGCCGUCUUCCUACUAAAACUGCAGGGAGGCAUGACUAGAUGCCACCUAAAAUGUUUUAGAGGUAAAUGGAAUUAAUGAAAGCCCCAGUGUUUUGCUUUAUGAUCAGUUUAGAGGCUGAGAGAUGCAGUAGCUCGGAUUUUUUUUAUCUAAUAAGGUCCCAUCCCACAGCCUUAUCUAUAUGCUGGUAAGGUAAUGCAGAGCAAAGUGCCAGCACAAAGUAGGUAGUAAGAACUAUCCUAAGGGUUGUAGAAGGAGGUUGGAAGGAAGGACUUGUUUUUCACACAAUGCGAAAGCUUGAUCUUUGCCAUCCCAUCUGGCUGGUUACUUGCAAAUAAAGUAGAUACCAUUAUAAACACUUUAGGGAGAUGUUCUAAAUUUUGUAAAUGUUCAGUGGGGCUUGGGUGGUAACAGCAGUACAAAAGCUGCCUUUACUCUCACUGCAUAUAUACUGCAUGUGUCUAGGGCUCAAGUAUCUCGAUCCUGUUGCAUAUCUAUUUUUAAAAGCUAUAUUUUUUUUAUAGCUUACAUACAGACUCUCCAAUGCACAUUUACAUGCUACAAUGAGGUCAUUUUUCUGGAUAAUUGGGAAAGUUAAGUAAUUGCUUUAAAAAGUAAACAUUUCUUUUAACAUCCAUGAAGCAAGUCUUAGAGCUGUUUGAUACCUAUACUCCUGAAAUUAAACAGUGGUUUACAUCAACAUGAAAUCCAUCUUGAGCUAUCCUAUGAUGUCAUAUGGCACUGCCAGGACACAUGCAGGCGGCUUCAAUACCCUUCAUUCAUGAUGGGGAGCCUCAUUGUGAUUUCAUUUUUCCCUCAGACAGCUAAAGGCAAUAUAUAAAAUCUGGUAUCCAUAUGAUUUGUGUGUAUUUGUAGUGUACCUGUUGACAGCUUAAGACACCAGUGGGACAGACUGGCAGAGUUUUCUCUCCAUCUUUUAUUGCCUUUAUGCUCUCCAAAGCAUGACCUUGUGGCUUUAAAGUAAUUUACCUGUUGGUGUACUCAUGUGGCAGCAAGUUACUUUGAAACACCUUCCCCUCACCCACCCCUUGGUUGGUUUGGGGGUUUUUUGUUGUUUGUUUUCGGUGUGUGUGUGGUUGUGUUUGUUUAGGACCAAACAGAACGAUCUUGGUCUGUGUCUAGGUUUCUUUAUUUUAUGUGGUUUAGGGUCAUAAUUUCUCAUUUCAACCCUGGUGGUGAUUGCAGCUUCUAAGCUAGUAUGCCUAGCUUUCUUUGGAGCACUUUAGUACCUUCUUCCAUAGAAUUUCCCAUAGACCUUUCCCAAUUCAUCAGUCUCUGGAUAAGAUUUAACUAUAAGAUCAAGAUUUGUCUUUGCACAUCAAAAAUGUUGAUUCUGGAAUUACUGCUUCUAAAUUAGCAACACAAUCCAAUCGCUUCUUUGCUUCCACCUACUCUCUAGUUUUUACUACCUUAUGUCAUUUGCCAAACUCAGACUCAAGGUCCAUCGGACUCAUCUUUUUGUCAUCUCACAGUCUGAUGACCCAAACUCUGACUGGGAUGUCUGUUCAUUAUUUCUACUGUGGUUAUUCACAGUAAACUGCAGCAUUCAAGUCAGUGAGACAGGAAUGAAUUAGGGUAGCAAAAACCCAAACACCAGUUUGAUAAGAGAGGGGUAAAGUUUGUGAUCUAAAGAUGAAAAGGAACAGAUUUUAAAUGUUCUUGCCGUAAAGAUGGG